rnacentral:rRNA from 1 species
UACGAACUGUGCGAACGUUAUUCGGAAUCACUGGGCGUAAAGGGCUCGUAGGCGGCCAACUAAGUCAGACGUGAAAUCCCUCGGCUUAACCGGGGAACUGCGUCUGAUACUGGAUGGCUUGAAUCCGGGAGAGGGAUGCGGAAUUCCAGGUGUAGCGGUGAAAUGCGUAGAUAUCUGGAGGAACACCGGUGGCGAAGGCGGCAUCCUGGACCGGCAUUGACGCUGAGGAGCGAAAGCCAGGGGAGCAAACGGG